rnacentral:rRNA from 1 species
CGGGUGAGUAACACGUAUCCAACCUGCCGUCUACUCUUGGACAGCCUUCUGAAAGGAAGAUUAAUACAAGAUGGCAUCAUGAGUUCACAUGUUCACAUGAUUAAAGGUAUUCCGGUAGACGAUGGGGAUGCGUUCCAUUAGAUAGUAGGCGGGGUAACGGCCCACCUAGUCUUCGAUGGAUAGGGGUUCUGAGAGGAAGGUCCCCCACAUUGGAACUGAGACACAGUCCAA